GCUGCUUGAUAGUCAAAUAAACAACAUAAAACAGAUUGCACUGAAUUUAGAUACCCCGAGCUACGUUACAUGCCAGUAAAUGCUGUCUAUAACACUUAUGAAUAUGAAUAAGUUUUUUUCUCUCGAAAUUAUAACUUGAAUAAAAUGCAUUGUUAAACAUUUAUGCAAUUUAAAAUUGGUCUAUCUGUGUCAGAAAUAAUUUGUUCUAACUAAAACCAACUGAGUAAUGCUUACUAAGACAGCUCAAAAGUAUCACCGUCUUCGCGUGUACGCUUUCAAAUAUAUUUGUACUAGAUGAAGGCAAUAGUAGUAUAUCGAAAUUCAUAAAUCGAUUGAGAAAAAAAACAAAUCCGGGUUACCAACUAUUGUUUGACAACAAUCAGAUACAAACGUUGUCUCUUGAUAAUAACGUUUACUUUUAUUUAAAAAAAACAUGUAAACGUUGAUUUUCCUCUAUAAUUAAAGCUUAUACUGUAUAUUAAAUGACGAAAGAUGCGUAAAUAAACGAACGACCCAAUGUUCAAUUUCUUCACAUAUUCCUUCACAAUAUUGUAUGUGUUCACUCAAUUGUUGAUAUUAGCAUGUAAUAAUUUAAUAUCGGGGCAUAACGUGUCCUUCGUGUCUUACUUCACGUGCUUCUUGGGCUAAAGCGCAUGGCCCACAGCACAUUGCCUGUAUACAGUCGUCACUUCCGGUUCCAUCUAUUCGUAGAUGCUUUCGUAUGAGAAAACGAACUUUUGCAAAAGCAUAUAUAUUUACAAAUGGAAUAAAAAUUAACAAUCCGCAAAGGAUGCAGUUUUUAUCUACUCUGUGUGCAGUUUUUCCAAAUAAGUAGCAUGGACAGAAAAUUGUAAGAGCACAUAUAUGUCCAUCUUCACAACAGGAGUAAAGGUCAUGUGUCCAUUCGACCAUUUCGUCAAAUAGCAGUGCAAAUAGUUAUCAAAGAUACGAGGAUUAUAAUUUAGUACGCCAGACGCGCGUUUCGUCUACACAAGACUCAUCAGUGACGCUCAUAUCAAAAUAUUUAUAAAGCCAAACAAGUACGAAGUUGAAGAGCAUUGAGGAUCCAAAAUCGUAAAAGCCUAAUAUGAAAG
rnacentral:lncRNA from 1 species